CAGUUGGGAAUGAAGUUCUCCCCUGGGAAACCUAAACCGCAUUUAUGCUGAUGACUUCUGCAAAU
rnacentral:ncRNA from 1 species